rnacentral:rRNA from 1 species
CUACGGGUGGCAGCAGUGAGGAAUAUUGCACAAUGGGGGGAACCCUGAUGCAGCAACGCCGCGUGGAGGAUGACGCAUUUCGGUGUGUAAACUCCUUUUAUAUGUCAAGAAAAUGACGGUAGCAUAUGAAUAAGCACCGGCUAACUCCGUGCCAGCAGCCGCGGUAAUACGGAGGGUGCAAGCGUUACUCGGAAUCACUGGGCGUAAAGGACGCGUAGGCGGGCUUGUAAGUCAGGUGUGAAAUCCUACAGCUUAACUGUAGAACUGCACUUGAAACUACGAGCCUAGAGUAUAGGAGGGGCAGAUGGAAUUAGUGGUGUAGGGGUAACAUCCGUAGAUAUCACUAGGAAUACCUAAAGCGAAGGCGAUCUGCUGGAACAUAACUGACGCUAAGGCGUGAAAGCGUGGGGAGCAAACAGGAUUAGAUACCCGCGUAGUC